GAUGAACGCUGGCGGCGUGCCUAAUACAUGCAAGUCGAACGCAUUGUGGUUGAAAUGAUAUGAAGAACUUGUUCAGAUUUGAUUUUCAACAUUGCAAUGAGUGGCGAACGGGUGAGUAACACGUGGGAAACCUACCUCUUAGCAGGGGAUAACAUUUGGAAACAAAUGCUAAUACCGUAUAAUAAUUAAAACCGCAUGGUUUUAGUUUAAAAGAUGGUCUUGCUAUCACUAAGAGAUGGUCCCGCGGUGUAUUAGUUAGUUGGUGAGGUAAUGGCUCACCAAGACAAUGAUACAUAGCCGAAGUUGAGAGACUGACCGGCCACAAUGGGACUGAGACACGGCCCAUACUCCUACGGGAGGCAGCAGUAGGGAAUCUUCCACAAUGGACGAAAGUCUGAUGGAGCAACGCCGCGUGUGUGAUGAAGGGUUUCGGCUCGUAAAACACUGUUGUAAGAGAAGAAUGACAUUGAGAGUAACUGUUCAAUGUGU
rnacentral:rRNA from 1 species